GACAGAGGUGCCAAGCGUUAGGCGGAAUCACUGGGCUUAAAGCGUGUGUAGGCGGAUCGUUAAGUACCUUGUGAAAUCCCACGGCUCAACCGUGGAACUGCUGGGUAUACUGGCGAUCUUGAGCCACCUAGGGGCGAGCGGAACAAGCGGUGGAGCGGUGAAAUGCGUAGAUAUCGCUUGGAACGCCAACGGUGAAAACAGCUCGCUGGGGGUGUGCUGACGCUGGAGACACGAAAGCCAGGGGAGCGAACGGG
rnacentral:rRNA from 1 species